CACCUGAGAGCUAUGAUGAUGUCAUGACGAGCGGACGGAACUCUGAUAUCAAGAAAGUGAACACACCAGAGAAUUAUGAUGAUGUCAUCAUUAAUAGACCGAGCUCUGAAGGGGUAACAGAGAGAGUUCAGGAGGAGUAUGAUGAUGUGAUGAGUGUCAGUGAAGAUGUGAGAAACCUAUUGGAUUAUGAUGAUGUGGAGGAGGAGUCAAACAAAGAAGGGGGGCAUUUGGCUCAAUGAUCCCACCCCCUGCCUCUGUUCAACAAAUCUGCACAAAGUUUGAGUGAUAUUGUUAUUGAUAUGUCAAAUCUCAGGUUUUU